rnacentral:rRNA from 1 species
GACGAACGCUGGCGGCGUGCCUCAUACAUGCAAGUCGAGCGGAUGCAGGAAUGCAUUAGCGGCGGACGGGUGAGUAACACGUGGGCAACCUGGCCUUAAGAGGGGGAUAACGUUCCGAAAGGGACGCUAAUACCGCGUAAAUCAGCGAAAUCGCAUGAUUUUGUUGGAAAAGGAGAAAUCCGCUUAAGGAUGGGCCCGCGGCCUAUUAGCUAGUUGGUAGGGUAACGGCCUACCAAGGCGACGAUAGGUAGCCGACCUGAGAGGGUGAACGGCCACACUGGAACUGAGAAACGGUCCAGACUCCUACGGGAGGCAGCAGUAGGGAAUAUUCCGCAAUGGGCGAAAGCCUGACGGAGCAACGCCGCGUGAGUGAAGAAGGUCUUCGGAUCGUAAAGCUCUGUCAACAGGGACGAAACAAGACGGUACCUGAGAAGGAAGCCACGGCAAACUACGUG